GAAGAGAGGAGGAGUGUAUAAAAAGAGGCAGAGAGGCAGACUUUCCAUUCAUCCUUUUGGCUGAGAGAAGACAGGACGACUUCUCAACUCUCAAUCAGCCAACAUCUUCAAUCUUCUCAUACGUUAUUGGCAGUCGGACGUACCAACAGGUCACUGCAUGGACCACCUUUACGAUCUUUCAGUCCUCUUGGAAGAUAACAAGACUGAACCGUGAUGGCAAGAAGAAUGACACACACAACACUUAUCAUGCUGGAAUGAACCCUAAAAGGAACAUGUUGAAGUUAAGGAUUCUUGUUUCCCAAUUCAAAGGAAAGUUUCUAAGGAUUCCCUGGGGACGUUUCUUAACAGGACUUCUUGACAAGUAGAAGGCUAUCAACAGAUAUGGCAGAUUAUAACGGUCAAGACUUGGAGUUGGUCGUGGUUUGUUUUCCCGAGGUGCAAAGCAAAUGGAGUGGAAAUGGCGUCAAGGGGAACCUGCUUGUCGUGACGGAGCGGUUGUUGCUGGACACACGACGGACUCUGGGGAGAAGAAGGAGUGCGGCGUGCCUGGCCACCAUUUCUGUCGAGGACGUGAAGAUAUCUACCUAUUUGGAUUAGUGACAAAAGGACAUCUGCUGAUUGGAGCAAGCUUUGUUCUGGAUUGUCGACAAAUUGGAAGUUGCUGGCAGUCUUCAAUUUACCCCUAAGGUGCCACAAAUGAUUGGAGAAUGCGGGAAGAACUGUGGACACUCUUGAGAUUUUGAAUCACAUCGGACUGUCUGCCCCGCAGGAUUUUGAGGACCAGUCAUAGACAAUUUAGAGUGAAAAGCAAAUUUUAUUUUCACUCGCAUACAAAACAUUGUAACUUGGAUUGUUUCCCUGGCUUCCAGACUCUCCCGAACGACAGUGCAGCGAAGACACAACAAACUCCCUUCUUGUCUCUCAAGGACACACACCUGUUGUUGUUGAUUUAGGACUAGCGACUGCACAAGAUCAAGGCCGCGGAACAGAGACACACUGCAGGCUUACACACAAACAUGCAUCCACAAAAAUAUUCGGCACACACAUACAUAUCCCACCCCACUCCCACAAUCCAACGCCCUUGUUGCAAAUCUCAUAGGGGUGAUGAAAGGAUGAUCAGCGCCAGAGAGCUGCGGCCUACCACCAUGACUCCGCACUCCCUUCCCUCUGUUGUUAGAUAUCUCGAGAUGUAUGUUGUAAUAUGUAUACGUGCUUUGCAAUGGAUAUUUUUUCCCACUCGAGACUGGGCCCCCUUAGGAGUCCAGUCGAGAUUGUUUUUUUUUACUUAUCCUUCCCCAGCGUUUUACCUUUUUCCCAUCUUUUACGGGGCGCCUUGUGGCGACUCAUCAGCGUUCCUGUUCUGUAACCCUGUACACUGUUUGUUUGUCUAAUCUUGAAUGGGUUUGUGCUGAAAACAAAGUUUCGUUGUACUUGUGCAAUGACAAUAAAGACCUAU